rfam:Amazona aestiva scaffold_13, whole genome shotgun sequence.
UUGCACUGUUCGUAACCUGUUAACAGUACCGUUCUGAUAAUGGGUUCCAUUCCAGUGCUACAUGACACCCCAAGAUAAUAAAAGGCUGGCUGUUUGUCUGCCUGGCCCCUUUAUUUUGGGAGACAUAA